rnacentral:tRNA from 1 species
UAAUGAGAAGCCUAAGGCAUUCAGUUUCGACCUGAAAUUAUGGUAUAAUUACCCUUAUUAA